UCCAUUAUCAAGGGAGACGCAGACCAUUGAUAAUACAUGCUCUUCUGAGACACAAACACCUCGGGAGCCAACGACAAGAACAAUUGCUACACAGACGAAGCGGUGUAUUCAAACCGUCCCCAAGAAGGCCAUUAAAAGAACCGUGAAAGCCUCACAGGAGCCAACAACAUCAUAUGCUACACAGACGAAGCAGUUGAUUCAAACCGUCCCCAAGAAGGCCAUUAAAAGAUCUGUGAAAGCCUCCAUUACCCAAGUCCACACAGGCAGCAGCAGCAGCAGCAGCAGCAGCAGCAGCAGCAGCAGCUGUAACGUCAACAAUACACCCUACGACUACUGCGCCGAUGACAUUGAGAUAAAUUCAGGUUUUGACGCAACGUCCCCACAGAUGGUGAUACAACCUAUGGUUCAUACAUCAACAGAUCUAUGUUUAGAGGCCUGUGAUAUACCAUCCGAAGUGUUAGAGCUUUUGGCCAGCUUCUGUCCAGAGCCACUGGUUGAUGGGAGGGGUGUUGUCGAUAAUCAGCAUACAGAAUUGAGAGGUUUGCUUGGGGACAUACAGGUGUGCAUUAGUACGCUAGACACAUCACACAUUGACUUGGUAGCCGACCUAUCUGACCGUUACAUGUCUGCGGA